rnacentral:misc_RNA from 1 species
UGGUGUAGAUUUGAUGACU